CGGACGGGUGAGUAAUGUCUGGGAAACUGCCUGAUGGAGGGGGAUAACUACUGGAAACGGUAGCUAAUACCGCAUAACGUCGCAAGACCAAAGAGGGGGACCUUCGGGCCUCUUGCCAUCGGAUGUGCCCAGAUGGGAUUAGCUAGUAGGUGGGGUAACGGCUCACCUAGGCGACGAUCCCUAGCUGGUCUGAGAGGAUGACCAGCCACACUGGGACUGAGACACGGCCCAG
rnacentral:rRNA from 1 species